GAGUUUGAUCCUGGCUCAGGACGAACGCUGGCGGCGCGCCUAACACAUGCAAGUCGAACGAGCGAGAGAGAGCUUGCUUUCUCGAGCGAGUGGCGAACGGGUGAGUAACGCGUGAGGAACCUGCCUCAAAGAGGGGGACAACAGUUGGAAACGACUGCUAAUACCGCAUAAGCCCACGGCUCGGCAUCGAGCAGAGGGAAAAGGAGCAAUCCGCUUUGAGAUGGCCUCGCGUCCGAUUAGCUAGUUGGUGAGGUAAUGGCCCACCAAGGCGACGAUCGGUAGCCGGACUGAGAGGUUGAACGGCCACAUUGGGACUGAGACACGGCCCAGACUCCUACGGGAGGCAGCAGUGGGGAAUAUUGCACAAUGGGGGAAACCCUGAUGCAGCGACGCCGCGUGGAGGAAGAAGGUCUUCGGAUUGUAAACUCCUGUUGUUGAGGAAGAUAAUGACGGUACUCAACAAGGAAGUGACGGCUAACUACGUGCCAGCCGCCGCGGUAAUUC
rnacentral:rRNA from 1 species